AUUGAACGCUGGCGGCAUGCUUUACACUUGCAAGUCGAACGGCAGCGCGGGCUUCGGCCUGGCGGCGAGUGGCGAACGGGUGAGUAAUGCAUCGGAACGUGCCCAGUAGUGGGGGAUAGCCCGGCGAAAGCCGGAUUAAUACCGCAUACGACCUGAGGGUGAAAGCGGGGGACCGAAAGGCCUCGCGCUAUUGGAGCGGCCGAUGUCGGAUUAGCUAGUUGGUGGGGUAAAGGCUUACCAAGGCGACGAUCCGUAGCUGGUCUGAGAGGACGACCAGCCACACUGGGACUGAGACACGGCCCAGACUCCUACGGGAGGCAGCAGUGGGGAAUUUUGGACAAUGGGGGCAACCCUGAUCCAGCCAUGCCGCGUGCGGGAAGAAGGCCUUCGGGUUGUAAACCGCUUUUGUUCGGGAAGAAAUCCUCUGGGCUAAUACCCCGGGGGGAUGACGGUACCGGAAGAAUAAGCACCGGCUAACUACGUG
rnacentral:rRNA from 1 species